rnacentral:rRNA from 1 species
GAUGCAACGCGAAGAACCUUACCAAGGCUUGACAUUCACCGGACCGCCCCAGAGAUGGGGUUUCCCUUCGGGGCUGGUGGACAGGUGGUGCAUGGUUGUCGUCAGCUCGUGUCGUGAGAUGUUGGGUUAAGUCCCGCAACGAGCGCAACCCUCGUUCUAUGUUGCCAGCACGUGAUGGUGGGGACUCAUAGGAGACUGCCGGGGUCAACUCGGAGGAAGGUGGGGAUGACGUCAAAUCAUCAUGCCCCUUAUGUCUUGGGCUUCACGCAUGCUACAAUGGCCGGUACAAAGGGUUGCGAUACUGUGAGGUGGAGCUAAUCCCAAAAAGCCGGUCUCAGUUCGGAUUGAGUUAGAGUUUGAUCAGGUC